rnacentral:lncRNA from 1 species
GGAUUAUAGGUGCCCACCACCAUGCCUGGCUAAUUUGUGUAUUUUUAGUAGACACAAGGUUUCACCAUAUUGGCCAGGCUGGUCUCGAACUCCUGACCUCAAGUGAUCCAUCUGCCUCAGCCUCCCUAAGUGCUGGGAUUACAGGUGCGAGCCACAACUCCCGGCCUCCUGGCGUUCUUUAAACGGGAGAAAUAAGCAUGCCAUUAACAAUGGCAAGACAGAGUGAGAUGCAUCCACCUCUUUCUGCCCGAUGGGAGCUGCACUGCAGGGGACAUGGAGGGGAUCACUGGCUGCACUGGAGGAAGGGCGCUGGCCCCAGCCCCAUGUAGAUCCAGGGCCCUGCGAGGAGCCAGCUCUGGAUAGAACGUGCCAUAUAUGUCUCUGGGUGGGGGACAGAGCACAUGACACUUUCCCCCCACUUCUACUUUCUUCAUUUUCCUGCAAAGCCUGGACUGUAAAGAAGGGGAUCUCUGCAUCUCAUAAGCCCAGAGGCCAACAGCCAGCUUGUUUGGGAGUCCAGGGUCUGAGGCCACAGCCGGGAGAGAGCCCUGUCCGUGGCAGCUUCAAACCCACGUCCUGGUUCCUGGCAACUGGAGAUCCUGGAGGAGACGGCUCCCGGUGGCUUUGUCGCUGACCUCCCCAGAUCAUUUUUUCAGACACGUAGAACCUUCCUCUCUCCUCCUUAAUAGCUCCCACAGCUGCCAGCCCUGAGGGCUUUUCUUCUUUUAAAUCAAAUUCCUCUCUGGGUUUAAUACACACGUGCGUGCACGUGCUCAGGAGCCCACGAGGCUGAAGCGGACCACGCCUUCUCAAUUUCCCCAAUUCAUCCCUUUCUUGCUGUGAUGGCUUCUGGUCACUUGCCUCAGGACAGGUGCACCUUUGUAACCACCUGGGGAUGUAGGCGCCGGUCCUCUGAGUCCAGAGCCGUUUCUUCCUCCCGAAGCCGGCUUCGUGUUCCAGAGCGGCUGGAGCCACCGAAGCUGGGACUCAGGCAUGUGAUCGUACUAGAGGGGCAGAGGCAUUGCCUUCUCAUCUCCAUGGCCUGCAGACUCUCGUGUCUGGGAGAAGGAGCAGCAACCUGUAACUACAGAACUGCCGUCACGGUCCACAUCGGUACCGCGUGGCUGCUCCCAGCCCUGGGUCCCUCCAGCACUCAUUAGUAGCUGCACCAGAGCUGGAUGGGGAAGGAAGAGGGAUGGGAUUCACUGGAGUCCUCGUUAGGAGGAAUUCAGGCCAAAGAUUUGGAGAAGAGGAAGCUGGUCCUACUGGGCACGGCAAGGAGUUCAGUGUGUGCGGAUCUCAAAGAACCUCCCUCCCAGCACCACUGAGGUGCUGAGGAUGCCCCUGAAACGGCCUCAAACUCGACUUGGACUAUGGGUUCCAUCCGUAGAGUUGGCCUCACUGACAGCAUUACAGGAAGGCUUCGAGGCAGCUCCCUGUGACCAUGUGGCGAUCGGACCAUCCCUGGCAUCCCACUUUGUGGGUGAGGAGACUGCUUCCUAACCAUGCCCCCAGUUACCACCUGUUCCUGAGAUGCAUGUUUUUUGAGCACCUACUGUGUGUCAGCGCUGGGCAAUGCCCUCUGGAUAGAGCCUUGAAUAAGCCAGACAAAAGCCUGGCUCGCGCCUGUAAGCCCAGAACUUUGGGAGGCUAAGGUGGAAUGAUUGAGACCCGGAGUUCAAUACCAGCCUGGGCAACAAGGGUGGAGCUGGGACUCUGUGACUGUGACUCUAACAAGCUUCCAGUCAAAUGGGAAUAGGACAUCGUCAUGGGAUGGCCGAGAAGAUUUGGUGAUGUGAGUUCAGCACA